rnacentral:rRNA from 1 species
AGUGGCGGACGGGUGAGUAACACGUAAGCAAUCUGCCUUUCAGUUGGGGAUAGCCCUGCCAACGCGGGGGUAAUACCGAAUAGGAUUCGGGAGUCGCAUGACUUCUGGACGAAAGAUGGUUUCAUCGCUGGAAGAUGAGCUUGCGUCUGAUUAGCUAGUUGGCGGGGUAAUGGCCCACCAAGGCGACGAUCAGUAGCCGGCCUGAGAGGGUGAACGGCCACAUUGGGACUGAGAUACGGCCCAGACUCCUACGGGAGGCAGCAGUAGGGAAUUUUGCGCAAUGGACGAAAGUCUGACGCAGCAACGCCGCGUGAGUGAUGAAGGCCUUCGGGUUGUAAAGCUCUGUCGGAAGGGAAGAAACUACCGGUUUAAUACUCCGGUACUGACGGUACCUUUAAAGGAAGCACCGGCUAACUCUGUGCCAGCAGCCGCGGUAAUACAGAGGGUGCUAGUGUUGUUCGGAUUUAUUGGGCGUAAAGGGAGUGUAGGUGGGGGCUAAAGUCAGUGGUGAAAAUUCGGGGCUUAACCCUGAACCUGCCAUUGAUACUGAGUCUCUUGAGUAUGGAAGAGGGCGAUGGAAUUCCUGGUGUAGCGGUGGAAUGCGUAGAUAUCAGGAGGAACACCGAUUGCGAAGGCAGUCGCCUGGGACAAUACUGACACUGAAACUCGAAAGCGUGGGGAGCAAACAGGAUUAGAUGCCCUGGUAGUCCACGCCCUAAACUGUGGAUACUAGAUAUUGGGAGAAUUUUACUCUCAGUGUCGUAGCUAACGCGUUAA